rnacentral:rRNA from 1 species
GACGAACGCUGGCGGCGUGCUUAACACAUGCAAGUCGAACGGAAAGGCCCUGCUUUUGUGGGGUGCUCGAGUGGCGAACGGGUGAGUAACACGUGAGUAACCUGCCCUUGACUUUGGGAUAACUUCAGGAAACUGGGGCUAAUACCGGAUAGGAGCUCCUGCUGCGUGGGGGGGGUUGGAAAGUUUCGGCGGUUGGGGAUGGACUCGCGGCUUAUCAGCUUGUUGGUGGGGUAGUGGCUUACCAAGGCUUUGACGGGUAGCCGGCCUGAGAGGGUGACCGGCCACAUUGGGCCUGAGAUACGGCCCAGACUCCUACGGGAGGCAGCAGUGGGGAAUAUUGCACAAUGGGCGGAAGCCUGAUGCAGCAACGCCGCGUGCGGGAUGACGGCCUUCGGGUUGUAAACCGCUUUCGCCUGUGACGAAGCGUGAGUGACGGUAAUGGGUAAAGAAGCACCGGCUAACUACGUG